rnacentral:rRNA from 1 species
ACGAACGCUGGCGGCGUGCUUAACACAUGCAAGUCGAACGGAAAGGCCCCAGCUUGCUGGGGUACUCGAGUGGCGAACGGGUGAGUAACACGUGGGUGAUCUGCCCUGCACUCUGGGAUAAGCCUGGGAAACUGGGUCUAAUACCGGAUAGGACCGUGCUUUAGUGUGUGCGGUGGAAAGUUUUUCGGUGCAGGAUGAGCCCGCGGCCUAUCAGCUUGUUGGUGGGGUAAUGGCCUACCAAGGCGGCGACGGGUAGCCGGCCUGAGAGGGUGUACGGCCACAUUGGGACUGAGACACGGCCCAGACUCCUACGGGAGGCAGCAGUGGGGAAUAUUGCACAAUGGGCGCAAGCCUGAUGCAGCGACGCCGCGUGGGGGAUGACGGCCUUCGGGUUGUAAACCCCUUUCGGCAGGGACGAAGCUUUUGUGACGGUACCUGCAUAAGAAGCACCGGCUAACUACGUG